GUGUCUGGGUUAUUAGCUUUACUCGCUUUAGUCAAUAUUCGUUAUUGGUUCUAUUGGCUCUUCUUUGGUUAGCAUAAUUUUUUUGUAUUGAUAUCUGAUUCGCUAUGUGUCAAUAGAUUGCUGCAUCUCCUGUCUCAUAAAAAGAAGCGCUAGUACUUUUGUGACUUUGGUUAAUUGCAUGACUGCUUAAUUUGUUUAUUGGUUAAAUUGGUUUAACUCAAUUAAUUAUUGGGAAAAUUGCUAAAAGAGAACAAGAAAACAGCAUAGUUAUCCCUAUGGUAUAAAUCUAUUUUUUUUUCAUUUUUUCUCUCUUUUACCCUUUCCAUAUGUUAAAAUUAAUGAAAUAAAUAGUUAUAAGAAUCAAAAAAAUUAUUAAA
rnacentral:lncRNA from 1 species